AAUCAGAGCAUAAAUCGCACGAGUUCUUGGUAAAUCGAUCAAGGGUUCCUCUGAUUUCAAAGUCAAUCGCAAGUCGGAUUUGGUUUUAAUCGCACGUUCUUAUCUUGGCAUUCCUUGUUACACUUAAUCGGUCACAGACAGUCUCACAUCUUCACCAUCACAGCAACCACCUUUAGCUAUGCACUGUGCAACAGCUUCGUGGUAAUCCCCAACAACCAAAGCACGUUGAACAGCAUAAAGAUCCUUCAAUCCCAAGGGUUCUGCUGCUGAGUUUGUACAGAUGUCUGUGGUGCUAACCAAAGCUGGACACUUAAAUGAAUUCAAGAUAAUGUGAACAAGAGAGGCUUCUUGGUACAUGAGUUGCAACAAGGGGUUGUUUCUGAGCAGAUAUCUAAUUCAAAUAGAUCAUAUUGGUUUUUUUUGAGCAGAUAUCUAAUUCAAAUAGAUCAUAUGAAAUUGGUGCACAUGGUAGUUUGAAUCUAUUGGAGGUCAACAUCAGACAAACAGUCAGUACCCAGGUUUGCUUCAACGAGUACCCAGGUUUACUUGUGCACUCCUUAUGAACCUCAGUUUCAUUCGAGGUAGUUUUCUGUAAAUACCACUUUUAUUUUACUUGGCAACAGAUCUAAUUUUGCUUAUAAUAUGAUGAUGCGAGGGAUGAUGAUGUGUGGCUUAUUUUGUUAAACUUGAUAUAGAGACAGGUUCUUUGUUGAUUUCAUUUUAUUGGUUAAUUGCUGAUUUUGUAACUUGAUUUGUAUUUGGUUAUACUUGCUGCAAGGCUAAAUUACUUCUCGGGAUUCACUUGGCGUUGGCAAUUCUGAGAUGCAACAUUUUGGUGGCAAGCAUUAUUCAAAGUAAAGCUGCAAGGAACUACAUAACACAAAGGGUCCAUUGGGGACACACAAGGAGAAAGGGCCACAUCCUCAGAAAACAAAUUCCCAUAAUUACUAGAUUCCUCAUAUGAAUUCUUAUCUGAAGUGAUAUGUUCCUUCCCUGGUAUACAUAUCAAGGCUGCUUAAACAUGGUCUAGCAAGAAAAGUUGUUGCUUUUCAAAUCAUUUGAGGAUUUUAGCGACAAAUUGAUCCACGACAACGCAGCAGUAGAGAUUUUGGUCUCGUAAUCGAUGAUUUGUGGCAUCACAAGUCUCGUAGUCUGUUCUUGUUUUUGCACUUUAUCAAGCAGAUGGACACAAAUUAGAAUGUGUUAAUCUUUGUUUGCUGUUUGAAAUUGCUCUUGAGGUUGUGUUGUAUUGUAUUGUACUGUAUCAUCAUUUCUGUAAUUGUAAUCGUUUCUGUCGAUUUGGUCU